AUAUCCCUGCGGUGCGCGUUGGAAAACCGAUAAUUAGUGAACCAACACUAAUAGUUUGGGAGCCGACACUCCUUUAUUAGCUUUGGCUUUAAAGGGAGGCGCCCACCUGUAACCAGAUGGUUCAGUAUAUCCUUUCCAACGGCACUAUUGCGGGGAUUAU
rnacentral:other from 1 species